GACGAACGCUGGCGGCGCGCCUAACACAUGCAAGUCGAACGGAGCUGAGAGAAGCUUGCUUUUCUUAGCUUAGUGGCGAACGGGUGAGUAACGCGUGAGUAACCUGCCCUGGAGUGGGGGACAACAGUUGGAAACGACUGCUAAUACCGCAUAAGCCCACGAUCCGGCAUCGGAUUGAGGGAAAAGGAUUUAUUCGCUUCAGGAUGGACUCGCGUCCAAUUAGCUAGUUGGUGAGGUAACGGCCCACCAAGGCGACGAUUGGUAGCCGGACUGAGAGGUUGAACGGCCACAUUGGGACUGAGACACGGCCCAGACUCCUGCGGGAGGCAGCAGUGGGGGAUAUUGCACAAUGGGGGAAACCCUGAUGCAGCGACGCCGCGUGGAGGAAGAAGGUUUUCGGAUUGUAAACUCCUGUCGUUAGGGACGAUAAUGACGGUACCUAACAAGAAAGCACCGGCUAACUACGU
rnacentral:rRNA from 1 species